UGGGGAAUAUUGGACAAUGGGCGCAAGCCUGAUCCAGCCAUGCCGCGUGAGUGACGAAGGUCUUCGGAUUGUAAAACUCUUUUUGGCGGGGACGAUAAUGACGGUACCCGCAGAAUAAGCCCCGGCUAACUUCGUGCCAGCAGCCGCGGUAAUACGAAGGGGGCUAGCGUUGUUCGGAAUCACUGGGCGUAAAGCGCACGUAGGCGGAUGUGCCAGUCAGGGGUGAAAUCCCGGAGCUCAACUCCGGAACUGCCUCUGAUACUGCACGUCUUGAGUUCGAGAGAGGUGGGUGGAAUUCCUAGUGUAGAGGUGAAAUUCGUAGAUAUUAGGAAGAACACCGGUGGCGAAGGCGGCCCACUGGCUCGAUACUGACGCUGAGUGCGAAAGCGUGGGGAGCAAACAGGAUUAGAUACCCUCGUAGUCCCUGAGCGGGCUGGCAAGGCG
rnacentral:rRNA from 1 species